rnacentral:rRNA from 1 species
UACGUAGGGUGCAAGCGUUGUCCGGAAUUAUUGGGCGUAAAGAGCUCGUAGGCGGUCUGUUGCGUCGGCUGUGAAAACCCGAGGCUCAACCCCGGACUUGCAGUGGGUACGGGCAGACUAGAGUGUGGUAGGGGAGACUGGAAUUCCUGGUGUAGCGGUGAAAUGCGCAGAUAUCAGGAGGAACACCGAUGGCGAAGGCAGGUCUCUGGGCUGACACUGACGCUCAUGCACGAAAGCGUGGGGAGCAAACAGG